rnacentral:rRNA from 1 species
UGGGGAAUUUUGGACAAUGGGGGCAACCCUGAUCCAGCAAUGCCGCGUGAGUGAAGAAGGCCUUCGGGUUGUAAAGCUCUUUUGUCAGGGAAGAAACGGUAGUAGCGAAUAACUAUUACUAAUGACGGUACCUGAAGAAUAAGCACCGGCUAACUACGUGCCAGCAGCCGCGGUAAUACGUAGGGUGCAAGCGUUAAUCGGAAUUACUGGGCGUAAAGCGUGCGCAGGCGGUUGUGUAAGUCAGAUGUGAAAUCCCCGGGCUCAACCUGGGAAUUGCAUUUGAGACUGCACGGCUAGAGUGUGUCAGAGGGGGGUAGAAUUCCACGUGUAGCAGUGAAAUGCGUAGAUAUGUGGAGGAAUACCGAUGGCGAAGGCAGCCCCCUGGGAUAACACUGACGCUCAUGCACGAAAGCGUGGGGAGCAAACAGGAUUAGAUACCCCCGUAGUCCCUGAGCGGGCUGGCAAGGCG